AACGAACGCUGGCGGCAGGCUUAACACAUGCAAGUCGAGCGCCCCGCAAGGGGAGCGGCAGACGGGUGAGUAACGCGUGGGAAUCUACCCAUCCCUACGGAAUAGCUCCGGGAAACUGGAAUUAAUACCGUAUACGCCCUACGGGGGACAGAUUUAUCGGGGAUGGAUGAGCCCGCGUUGGAUUAGCUAGUUGGUGGGGUAAAGGCCUACCAAGGUGACGAUCCAUAGCUGGUCUGAGAGGUUGAUCAGCCACAUUGGGACUGAGACACGGCCCAAACUCCUACGGGAUGCAGCAGUGGGGAGUAUUGGACAAUGGGGGCAACCCUGAUCCAGCCAUGCCGCGUGAGUGAUGAAGGCCUUAGGGUUGUAAAGCUCUUUCACCGGGGAAGAUAAUGACGGUACCCGGAGAAGAAGCCCCGGCUAACUUCGUGCCAGCCGCCGCAGUAA
rnacentral:rRNA from 1 species